rnacentral:tRNA from 1 species
GUAGGCAUAACCAAGCGGUGAAGGUAGCCCUCUGCAAAAGGGCGUCCGGUGGUUCGACUCCACCUGCCUACUCAA